GCAACAUCGACACACGCUGUGGCUAGAGAGGAUCGCAAUGGUCAAUGAGAACCUACCCAGCCCAUAAGAAGCCUGUAUAAUACAUCGUGGCUGUGGACACCACUAACAUGGCAAGAUGCUCAAAAAUUUGAAACUAUAACUGACAUCCCUUUGUGAACUUGAUUCCAGAACUACCUGCCUGAUGGCCUGCAGCAUUUCAGAGCUUCCUCAACAGAAGUGGAUCUUCAUCUGCUGAAAAGACACUGACAGAAGAAGGCAGUAAUUCCAGCUUUACAAAAAGAGUAGCUUUUCACAGGCAAAAGAAAAAAAAGAGUUCAGACAGCCAUCAGGAGGGCUCCCCGAUUCCAUCUGAAAACAGACACUACGCACAGGCACACAGAGGAACACAGAAAGCAAAGCCCUUUGUUGAAGUUGUACGCUACUACCAAAAUGCAGAGACCAAAGCUGAACUCAGCUCAAGUCCCCCAGAAGAACUGAAGAACCAAAACAAGAAGGAAACAGAAUUCAGUAGUUUUCGUAAUGCACUGCACAGCGCUGUGCUGAUGCAACUGGCCUUGCAGCUCUACAGCACUACACGGAGUGCACAAAGAGAAACAACAGAAAAGUCACUGGCAGGGAUAAAGCAGUUGUGCAAGGGUUUGUUCCUGGGCUCAGAAGGAGAAAUCUCGCAUGUGAACAGUUCAUCUGACAAAGCAGACAGACAGGAACAAAGAUGCAAUCCCUCAUUCCUAGCAAGCUGUACUCAGCUGUAGGACCUCAGCUAUCCAGUUAUGUUACAGAAAUAUGCCUUGCAACGUUUGGGAUUUGUUUCCAACAGCUACCGUGCUCCACCGUGACGCAGCUGAGCCAUAUUCAUUCACUUUUAUCAACCCUCUGCCAUCGAUUAUUUCUAAUCUAUUUAUCAUCUCACGUCUACAACCAUAAAAGCCUAUUUGCACAAGCAGCUUUCAGUCAAUUCCCAGUAACAGCAACCCUUUGUAGUUUAAAUGAACUCCUACACCACUAUUUUUCUUGGCUUGAAGGAUAUUUAAUACUUUCUUGAGCUGACAGAGCAGUCUGCUAACCUGCAACACGCUCUAUUCUGGGGAUCACACCUAUCUCAUAUUUUCCUUUUUCAAUACACAGCCCAACCGUGCUUUGGAAUAAUACCUCCCUGUAUUCUGUGUGAAAAAGGCUCGGGUAGAAAACCACUCCCUGAGAAGCAUCUCUCUGCACGGGCAGCACAACUGCAGCGUACAUCCCAUGUUAUCACGCAGGGGCGGUGCCUGUUUACCAAAAGUGUUAUUGAGCUGUUCCCCCCCAACACACCCACCAGCAGCAGCUCUCAGCAGCGUGGCUUAUCCCUACGCCCUGCAUGGCACAGCGACCCGCCUGCUUUGUCUCCCUGCGCAGCCCCUGCAUUACCCCAUAAGGUGAAGCGCACGCGAUGGCUGCAAAGCCCAAAUGGAGAGACAGACCUCGCCCAAGGCCCGACCGUGUGUGCCACCACAGCAUCAGCACUUAACGCAGAGAACCUUCUUUAGAGGGGGGAAAAAGCCACCAUCCCCAUCCAGUACCACGACCCAGACCCAAACAUGCGCAUUCCGCUGUACGUGUGCGUGCGUGCAGCUCUAUUUCCUCUUAUAUUUGAAUUAUGUAAAGGCAUCCUGAAACUGAAGACAUCCGUGGGCUAAUCUGGAAGUUCUUCAAACGUAACAUCUUCGCGUAGUAAACCGAGAAGAGCCGGGAGCUCGCUGCCGACCAGAUUUUUAUCUCCGAUAAAAAGCGUCAUUUGAAUGAGCUGACGUUCCCGAACGAUGGAAGCUCCGUUCCCAACGCGGCUCCCACACAAACCCCUGUUUGCUGCGAGCAGCCGCACGGAUCGCACCGCGGAGCGCAGGAGCGGCUCCGGGGCUGUCAUUAACGGGAGUGCGUGCCGAAAACGCGAGGCCGAGAAUGACUCGACGGUGACUGGCUGAACCGCAGAACUCCCUGUCGUGAGAUAUUCCUCAGACCGAAAUCCAAAGUAAUACUCGGAAGACAACGAGGACUUCCUGUGCAAGGUACUCCUGCUGGGUUAGUAUCACAAAUGGAAACAGAUGAUGCAAGUCGUCCCCAGCAAGUAGCACCUGGUCGUGAAGCAUGAAGAAACAGGUUUUGAAUCACCAAGGAAAUGGCAUCAAAAUACACCCCGGAGGUGGACAGCCUCAGUGUGGGAUGGAAGCAAGAUCUCCCCACAGCCAGAGGAGUGGAUCUCCAGCUGUUCUACCUCACCUCUGCAGUUGGUUAGCAAGUGGGGCCCUGCCUGGCAGCCUCACUUCUCUGCUAGCUGGGGAGUGGCUCCUUAAUCCCAUUCUUGCUUGACUUCAUGGCAGCCCUUACACAAUCCCUGGCAACACUGCCAGGCAUCUCUGUUAUGUGAACACCCCCAGAGCUCUUCUGUACUCAGCUUGAAACAACUUCAAAGAUGCACUGCUUCUGGCCUUCAGAAGAAAGUUGCUGCUGCCCUCAGAGGGGUAGCAUUCCCUGGCUUCCCUCCUUCGCGUUUCCCUUCCCUCAGCCUCUUCACUUUCUUUUCUCUCCUCUCCUCUGAUCCCCUCUUGGAUGCUGAUCCUUUAACCUCACCAGCACAGAACUGGGACCCACGUAUUUCUCCUCUCCGGGCUGCUUCCAUCUUGGCAGAGAGCCCCAGCAGGGAGGCAGGGGGCACUGGCAGCCUUCCUCUCCCAGAGGCCUUGCAGAAGGACACCCCACUACCACUGCUGGCCUCUGCCCCGUCCUUUGCUGGGGACAAGAGGACAGGGCAGUGAGGGAGAGGCCAGGCUGAAAGCAGAGCCAGUUCUCACCUCUUUGAUCACGAAUCUUGUAAUGGUUGGAUAUUUUUUUUCCUGGAAUUCCAGUUCUGUGGAAGUAAAUAAAGAAGAAAAAAGCAACCCGUGUUCAUGGCCAGAGAGUAAAGACUGAACAUGUGAAACAAACGCAGCGUGGUGAGGUGGGUGCAUGUUGCCACUGUUUUGGUGCAGCCUCCUUUUAGGGGCACCUUUCCUAGCAGCUCCUCUCUCAAGAGAGCCAUCCUGGAUGUAAGCAAUGGGGCUCAAAACUCAGUCAAUAAAAAGAAGAACAAACAACUGCCCACAAGGGGAAAAGAAAUAUUUUCCAAAAUAUCUGACCCCCCUUAUUUCUUUCUUUCUCCAUGGAAGGAUAGGGUUGGGAGCAUCAGGAGCCUUUUCCCUCUAAUUCUGGCUGUCGUCUUCAAAUCCGCCGGUCUGGGGACAGACAGACAGCACCAGAGAUCCCUGCAGUGGGGAUCUGUCUGAAGGGGAGCUCUGUCGGCCUCAGAUCUGUUUUCUCUGGAAGCCUUUCUGGGCUAACCUCUUCAAAGUGCAGGAGGGAAACACCAUCUGCCUGCUGGAUUAGAGGAAGUAUGAAUGAGAUUUAAUUAAGAUGAUUUUGCCCUCUAGACAGGUUGUUUAAAAAUUAAUUUUACCUCUCCUUUCCCUUCAAUUAAGCUUGUAAGCUAGAGGGAGCAGUGCACCCUGAAAUAUUGAUUCUGCCUCUCAGAUUGCAGUGACCUACAUUUGGGGGUGCUCCGUCCACCAUCGGGACUGUCACUGUCCUGCACACUGAGCAUGGGAAGAGCGAUCAGGCUGCUGGCUUGGGUUAGAUGCAAAGCUCAACACGAAUCCUUUAAUUUCUUUUAAAUACAUCAUGAUUCAUUAUCUCAGGCAGGAUCCUAUAUCAGGUGCAUGAAGAAAGCUUUGUGAGAGGCAAGCCGAGGUUGGCUGAUCAAAGCAGUGCCCUAGGCAACAUGAGAGAGCUUCCCAGCCAACUGCAUCUGGUUUCUGCAAAGGCAGACGGCUUCGGUUUGACUGCUGGGAUUGACUGGAAGGAAACUUAGAUGUGUUUCUUUUUUUUUUUCCCCAAUAGUUUUUCCCCCUCAGCUUAUCAGUCAUGUCAGCCCUACACAACAAGGAAUAACUGAAAACUUUUGGCUUUCAUCCACACCUGGGAAGCUUACAUCAUCCUCAUGGAAGGCUUCAAAAGUGUGGCAAACAAGGAGUAAAAUAUUGGCCUGGCAAAGAUGAAACUCUUGAGAAAUGCCCUGGUUUCUGAGCCCUGCCCGUAGUUCUGCUGAUCAGGAUGCAGAUCUGCUCCAGCUAAGUAAUGUAGCAUGCAAACAGGGAGAAAAAAGAAUUUGGGAAGGAAUUAUGGAUCUGUGAAUAAUUUUGACUUCAGCUCUCACCAAUUAUACGUGCCGUGGUGUAUUGCGUGUUGAGUCACUCCCAAGAGUUGCCGAGUACCGUAAAUUUACAUUAAUACAAAACAUACUACUAUGCGCCUUCAUGAUGCUGAGGGUCACGAACAUCACUCUCAUUUUAUGUCCUGUGAUGGCAAUUUCUUAGUCCACUAAAAGCAAAAAGAGCUGCAUAUGUUAUCACCAGAACACACUAUCUUGCUUUACAGGAGAUGCUUGCCAAUAAAAUUAUUCCAGCUAUCCACACAUUCCAGUCUUUGGCAACGGAGUAAACCUUGGCAUUACCACGUUGAUAUGAGUCUGCAAACUCAGCAGUAACAUGAGUUCUUGCAAGUUCCUCCCUAAAAAUCUAAUCAGCAUCAUUAAGGAAACCUUUUGAGAACAGACAGAGAUGCUUGAUGACUCUAAGGUUCAUGGUCCAAGCUCUGGUUCUCUUGGGUUUCCCUGACAUGCCCAGCAUUUCUCCAGGAAGGAAUUUGGCUUCACUGCCCUUUGUGAUGUUCAAAUCUUUGUCACAUUUCCUUCAUGCCAGGAGCCCAAUGGUCCGGAGUUCUAGCAGCACUUUUCAAAGAGUAUUACUGAGGCUUAGCAUCGCAUGUAAAACAGUAAAUCAGAGCCUGUAAGCCUGCACAGAAGUUUCUGUAUUUGGGUCUGAUUCUGGUGCUCAGUCACACCACAACUGCAGACAAAACUGGAUGAGGAAAGCUAAGCAAGACAAGGGUGCUGAAGAGCCUUCCCACCUCCUAAACAUUUCUGUAUGCUGGUGAUAACAUUUGUAGUAAAACUCUUAAGACCAUAAGGUCUUCAUGGCAUGCUGCAGAGCUGUGUUCUUACCCCAACCCAAGCACCCUGUGGAUGAGGACUCAGCUUCAAGUGCAACAACGCAGGUUGUUCUGCACACACGCCUCAUUCUUUAGAAGGUGUUGUUGUGUCUCUCGUCUCCACCCUCAAGAAAUCCAAAAACACUUGAAAAGAUCAUAGCAGUCAGAUGAGAUUAGAGAAGAAAACCAGAUUAUGGCCAGUUUAAGACAUGUUUGGGCGGGUGGAUGAAAACAUCAGAGAUCUCCUGCCCACGCUGCAGGCCGGCAUGGCAGGAGUCAGCUCUGCUCUGCAGCCCAACAGCAUGUGUAGAGCAGCCCAUCACUGUGCUCAGCCCAGCACUGGGUAGUGCAGUGCUCCUGCAUGAAGAAGUGCCUUUUCAAGGUGGGCAAUGCUGGAUGAACGUGCAUUCAUGCAUGGGCCAGCUGGGCGCCUGGGCAGGGCAGCUGGAGUCUGCCUGUGCUUGCCCCCUACAGAGGCACUCUCCUCUGCUUAGACAUCUCAAAAUCUGCACGUGCCAAGCAAGGAGUCCAGCACUUCUGCGGGGCUGUUAGUUCUGUGGGACUCAUAGAUGAUGGCUUAAAGAUUUGAGCAGGAGGAAGUGCUGUCAGACGAACUGGAGAUACUCAGUCUUUCACAGCUCCAGUUCUUUGGCCUUUUGCUCCCAAACUGCUGAGCAGCUUUGCAGUUCUGCAGAGCUUGGUGCACUCCCGAGCCAUCCAUGCAGGUGUUGGCUGUGGCCCUGCUGACUUCAGCAGCGCUGCUCCCAUUCUCAUAAUUACUGCAGGCCAGGAGGGGCUGUGUUGGCAGCGUGUAACAGAAGCCUCAGUUACCAUGAAGCACAUCGAGCAACGCCCUGCCUCUAACAGGCCCUUUCUGUGGGAGCACCACAGUACCCAUCUGGAGAAAACCUGUCCUGGCUUCGUUCUAGCCCAGAUUUGUUUGGCUGCAGCUUCCAACUUUGAAUCUCCUUCGUGCCUUCUGCAGCAGCAUAAGGCUCUGAAUUAGCAAAGUAAACACACAUGGCAUUACACACAGUGCUUUGAGCGUGGCCUUGCAUUUCAUAGCAGACUAAGCAGACGUUUGGUGGUGCAGCCCUGAGGUAUACCCUUGGUGAGAGCCUGCUUGGCCCACCUGGUUGAGUUUGCUGCAGCGUUCCCCUUAGAGCUCCAGCUGUGACUGGAAACUGACGGCAGAGAGGGAGUUAAAGCCAAGAGCGAGAGGAUUUUAAUGAAAUAAUCCUUGGUGAGGUUGCUCAGGUGCAGGCACUUUUGAUAGAGACCCCUCGCCUCCGUGGCUGCCUCCUCCAGGAGCAGGGCGAGCCGGCUGGGGCUGGGCCCUGUUGGAUUAACCAGUCCACGGCAAAUUGGCCAGACCACAGCAGAAUGGCCCGGCUGUGGUCGAGCAGGCAAGGCCUGGUGUGUUUAAGGGAACAUCCAGCAGACUUGUGUUUAAGAAGGAAGCACUUUCAAAUACCUUUAAAACGGAUGAUGCCAUCAGGGUUUUCUCCUGGUUGUUAAUUAAACCUCUCAGACAGAAGCAGGUUUUAGCCAGUGACUGGAAGGAGGAACUUGACCUUACUUUAGAAGCCCCUGGAAGUAAGACUUCACAGAGGAAACACAGUCAUUCUCCCAGGAAUGUGAGCCUUGCCUCAGCUUUCACCUUCUCAUGAAAUGCAGCAGUAACUCCUCUUUUUUCACCCCUAAUAAUAUGUGACAUGUCUAAUAACCAGAGUCCUUGUCCUCUGAUGCUCAGCUGUGAGCCAUAUGGCACGCACAUAAGUGAAGAUUAGUGAUUAGACAGGACUUGAAUUCAGUAACAUGAUUACAGUAUAAAAAUAGGCACGAGGCUGAAACUGCACCACUGUUGUGUGCUCAUUUUGCACGAGCAAGAAGAUGGAGAUUUUCAUCAUUUUAUUUCUGUGGCUACCAUUCCAUACAGAAUAUAAAGGGAUUUCUGGUUGAAUAGUAGAGGUGAGACGUUUAAUUAUUUAUGAAUCACUUAUAUUUAUGUGCUACCUAUAAAUACUUCAGAGCACAUUAUGAAAAGUAACUGUGUGCUUUUGAUGACCCCUUUAUGUAAUUGAAAGGGGAUUCUGUGUCCUUCACAAGUCUCAGCUCCGCCACCCUUUCACACCACCCUGGCAGUGCAGGCAUGAACUGAUCUGGGAGGAAUCUGCUCAGUGCAAGGAUGUCUUACUAUGAGCAGAUGCCAGCAAAGCCCCGCUUUAUCACCACAAGCUGUUGCACUUCAGUACCUUGCAUUAAUACCUAUGGUGGCUAAAAAAAAACACACAAAAAAAAAAAACAAAGCAGGUGCAUCUGACAGCAUCUAUCAGCCAUCUCUUGCUUGUUCUCUUGGCAUGAAAGGCACACACCUCCUGAGGAUGCUGUAUGUCUCUCUGGGACAUCUCCUGGCAUGGGGCACCAGCACGGGGGUGGUGAGACCAGCCAAGGGCUGCACCCAGCCCAGCGGGGAUGGAAAAGUAGGCCAGAAGGGUGGGGAGGGAAGACUUGGUGCAACCCAUAUCAUAAAGAUAGAGAUCUGCAAAAACGAAACACAGAAGGCACCAACUGAUUGAGAAGUCUCUAAUAAACUUCAUGUAUUUAUUGCACUGCGUGGCUAGAAUUGAGGAGAAAAAGGUUGUAACUGAGAUACGGAGCACAAGAGUAUUGGAGAAUUACUGAGUGUGACUCUUUGGAUUGUUUCAAUGCUAAAUAGGUUGGCUUUGCCUGACAUUUACAGUGAAAAUUAUGGUGUCAAUUAUAGUGAAAAUAAUAUUGGUUUCCCAAAGACCCAGAAAUCAUUAUGAAUCUGAUCUGUUUGAAAUGCAGCUCUAAAGCAGUGCCAAAUGCUAUUACAAUUUUCAUGCUAAAAUCAAACAACGAAUGAAUGUUUCUGCUUCUCUUGACACCUACGUUACACUACAAAUGCCAGCUUGUCUCUAUGGGCUUGAUGACAGCAGACACCUGCAUCUCUGUCCUUCCCAAACCCCUUCUCCUCCAACCAAGGAUUACUGCAUAAACAGACACCAAGAAAUAUGACAUGCUACUUCACGAUUAUUUUAUAUUUAGGCUAGGUUUAAUUAUUCCCUUUGACUUCUGUAAAAAGAGAGGAAAUAAGAAAAAGAAGACAUCUAACCCCCCCAAGGCAAUUAAGCAACAUUUCUAAUUCGAGAAUCAUUUCUUGUGUGAGAAAACUUGUAAAAGAUGUUGAAAAAUCCUGAUUUUUCACUGAGUUUUUUGUUUUGAAACAUGAACGUAACUGACACAAACCUCCCUUCCAGGUGCCGAAGCACAGUCUGCUCCCUGAGCCUCAGCCCUUCAGCUGGCACAUGCCAGGGGGUCUCUCCCUUGGGCUGGCUUUUCCAAGCUCACCCAAUCUGGUUACUUGCUGGGCCCCAGCCCAGGCCCAGCCGGCUCCUCAGCCCAGGACAGCCACCAGUCACGAUCUCUCUCCUUUCUAAUUACCUCUUUCAAAAUGGAUUCUUCGCACACACCGAACUUGCAUUGGGUGGGUGCAGUAUUCCUUACACUUCACGGUCUUAGACGGCCUCAUUUACAUGAGGUUAAAGCCACUUAAUUUAAAACAUACAAAGCAGGUGCCGCAGAAAGCCAUAAUCAGAAAGAAGGCCACGGAGAGACAGCGAAAGGUGUUCUGCCUGAUAUUCCCAACUAACCAGAAAAUUCCAGCUGUGGGAAGCCUUUCAACACCUCAGAGUACUUCCUGAGUCUGCAUUGCCCCCAGUGUGAGUCUGUGCAAGCUCACCCUGCUGCCCUUCUCUUCUGGGAAUGACCCCCUUGGGCCAGGGCCCUGGGCUCCACCGCCCUACAGCCAGCACACACAUUUCUUGUGGCUCACGUCCUGGACUGUGCUGUCGGUGCUCUCAGAAUGGGUGCACUGGGAGGGAGGCACGGGGAGAGGCCUUCAGCCACCCCUGAGCAUCACAUCAUAUCACAAGAAUCAGACAAAGAACACAGCAACAGAGCAACAACAGAAUGACAACAACAGAAUCUUAUGAAGAUCACAGCAAGUUUGUGGAUGAUACCAAACUGUGCUGUGGUCAACAUGCCUGAGGGAUGGGUUGUUAUCCAGGGAGACAUAGAUAGGCUCAAGCAGUGGGCUCAGGUGAACCUCAUGAGAUUCAACAAAGCCGAGUGUGAGGUCUUGCACCUGGGGAUGUAAGGACAGAGCACAGCCCUGAUGAAAAGACCUGGGGUACUGUGGA